rnacentral:lncRNA from 1 species
CUGACACCCCCCCGCUGCCGCCGCUCGCCAUCUUGGAGGAGACGAGGGGCGGGGCGGGGAGACCUCUGCCCCGGAACAGGAUCUCCGAGGCAGCCAAGAGGAGGAGGAAGUCGAUGAUUGCUAAGCGUCGCCGAGUUGGGAGUGUCUUCAGCCCUAAGGCAGCAUCAGAGAUCAUAAUCUUCUGCUCUCGUGGCAAGAAAUUUGUGCGGAUAGAGUUGAUACACCUCACUUGAAGUUGGCCUGGAGAAAAGAGGCGUCGGACUCCUGGACGGGGUUGGGAAACGGUCACCAGUUUCGGCUCAAAGCAGCCUGUUUCCAGGAGACCGCCAUGGUCGAGGCAGCGUCCUGGUCCCACGGUGCGGGGCCGGACGAUCAUUUAUGGGAUAUAAAUAAAAGGACUAUGAGGUGGUAAAUAAAAGACUACCAACUAGAAGCCAUAGGGAGUCAUUUGAAGGAGAAAUAGGCACGGCUCAUCUGUGGUUGAGGGAAAGGGAUCUUGAAAGAUGAUUAGGAGAACUUGGGUUCUGGGGAAAGUGCGGGAAGACAUUCUGGCAGAGAAGCAAACGUGAGGAAAGAGUUUUGCUCUUGUUGCCCAGGCUGGAGUACAAUGGCGCAACCUCGGCUCACCACAACCUCCGCUUCCCAGGUUCAAGCGAUUCUCCUGCCUCAGCCUCCUGAGUCGCUGGGAUUACAGGAAUGUGCCACCAUGCCCGGCUAGUUUUGUAUUUUUAUUAGAGACUGGGUUUCUCCAUGUUGGUCAGGCUGGUCUCGAACUCCUGAUCUCAGGUGAUCCACCUGCCUCGGCCACCCAAAGUGCUGGGAUUACAGGCAUGAGCUACCAUGCCCAGAGAAUUCCAGCCUGCUUCAAGGAAAUCCAUGUGUUCAAAAUGCUUGCUCGCAGUUUGCUCCAUACCAAAUGGUUGCUUAACCCAAAUAUCUGAGCAGCAAAUUGAGCUGAUCCUUCUGGAGAAAGUACGGUUGAACAGCCAAGACCUAUUGGUUCAGCAAGGAAAAGACAGAAAAUUGAGCUCAAUUAGUAAUGAAAAUACAACCUUACAAAAAAUUUUAUACUCAGAGCAGUCCUGCCACAGAAAAUAAAAAGCUACUGCAUUAUUCUAAUCUAAAGUAGAAUCUGUACAACUGUCUUUAAUACCGGAGUGGUAAAGUGAUUACAAGAGGAAAAGCAGUCAGUAUUACCUGCCAUGAAGAGAUAUUUUAUAUAUAUCAUCUAUCACCCUUCUUAUAGAACUCACUUACAAAGAAACUUAUCUUUUUGAAACUUCUGUUCACAUACACUAUCCCUUUCAAUCCCUGGCGAAGAACAACUGAAGCAAAAUAAGGG